CCUACGGGAGGCAGCAGUGAGGAAUAUUGGUCAAUGGGCGGAAGCCUGAACCAGCCAAGUAGCGUGCGGGAUGAAGGCCCUACGGGUCGUAAACCGCUUUUGCACGAGGAUAACACCCUCCACUUGUGGAGGUCUGCAGGUACCGUGCGAAUAAGGGCCGGCUAAUUCCGUGCCAGCAGCCGCGGUAAUACGGAGGGCCCGAGCGUUAUCCGGUUUCAUUGGGCUUAAAGGGAGCGUAGGCGGGCGUUCAAGUCAGCGGGAAAAUCCCGAGCCUAAACCGCGCCCCGCCGUUGAAACUGGACGCCUUGAGUUCACAACAGGCAGGCGGAAUUCGUGGUGUAGCGGUGAAAUGCAUAGAGAACACGAGGAACCCCGAUUGCGAAGGCAGCCUGCCGGGGUGCGACUGACGUUGAGGCUCGAAGGUGCGGGUAUCAAACAGGAUUAGAUACCCGGGUAGUC
rnacentral:rRNA from 1 species